rnacentral:rRNA from 1 species
UCGGGAACCGUGAGACAGGUGCUGCAUGGCUGUCGUCAGCUCGUGUUGUGAAAUGUUGGGUUAAGUCCCGCAACGAGCGCAACCCUUAUCCUUUGUUGCCAGCACGUUAUGGUGGGAACUCAAAGGAGACUGCCGGUGAUAAACCGGAGGAAGGUGGGGAUGACGUCAAGUCAUCAUGGCCCUUACGAGUAGGGCUACACACGUGCUACAAUGGCGCAUACAAAGAGAAGCGACCUCGCGAGAGCAAGCGGACCUCACAAAGUGCGUCGUAGUCCGGAUCGGAGUCUGCAACUCGACUCCGUGAAGUCGGAAUCGCUAGUAAUCGUGGAUCAGAAUGCCACGGUGAAUACGUUCCCGGGCCUUGUACACACCGCCCGUCACACCAUGGGAGUGGGUUGCAAAAGAAGUAGGUAGCUUAACCUUCGGGAGG